CCUGCAGGUCUCUGGUUGAUCCUGCCGGACCCGACUGCUAUCAGAGUGGGACUAAGCCAUGCGAGUCAACGUAGCAAUGCGUGGCGAACGGCUCAGUAACACGUAGUCAACAUGCCCAGGGGACGUGGAUAACCUCGGGAAACUGAGAUUAAACCGCGAUAGGUCAAGAUUUCUGGAAUGGAUCGUGUCUUAAAUCUACAUGGCCCCUGGAUUGGACUGCGGCCGAUCAGGCUGUUGGUGAGGUAAUGGCCCACCAAACCUAUAACCGGUACGGGCUCUGAGAGGAGAAGCCCGGAGAUGGGCACUGAGACAAGGGCCCAGGCCCUAUGGGGCGCAGCAGGCGCGAAACCUCUGCAAUGGGCGAAAGCCUGACAGGGUUACUCUGAGUGAUUUCCGCUAAGGAGAUCUUUUGGCAGCUCUAAAAAUGGUGCAGAAUAAGGGGUGGGCAAGUCUGGUGUCAGCCGCCGCGGUAAUACCAGCACCCCGAGUGGUCGGGACGAUUAUUGGGCCUAAAGCAUCCGUAGCCGGUUGUGCAAGUCCUCCGUUAAAUCCAGCCGCUCAACGGAUGGGCUGCGGAGGAUACUACAGGACUAGGAGGCGGGAGAGGCAAGCGGUACUUAGUGGGUAGGGGUAAAAUCCUUUGAUCCAUUGAAGACCACCAGUGGCGAAGGCAGCUUGCCAGAACGCGCUCGACGGUGAGGGAUGAAAGCUGGGGGAGCAAACCGGAUUAGAUACCCGGGUAGUCCCAGCUGUAAACGAUGCAGACUCGGUGAUGGGCUAGCCUCGUGUCAGCCCAGUGCCGCAGGGAAGCCGUUAAGUCUGCCGCCUGGGGAGUACGGUCGCAAGACUGAAACUUAAAGGAAUUGGCGGGGGAGCACCACAAGGGGUGAAGCCUGCGGUUCAUUGGAGUCAACGC
rnacentral:rRNA from 1 species